CAGUCGCCGCGGGAAUACGGAGGGGGCUAGCGUUGUUCGGAAUUACUGGGCGUAAAGCGCACGUAGGCGGCUUGGUAAGUUAGAGGUGAAAGCCUGGAGCUCAACUCCAGAAUUGCCUUUAAGACUGCCGAGCUAGCAGGUGAGAGAGGUAAGUGGAAUUCCGAGUGUAGAGGUGAAAUUCGUAGAUAUUCGGAAGAACACCAGUGGCGAAGGCGGCUUACUGGCUCAUACUGGACGCUGAGGUGCGAAAGCGUGGGGAGCAAACAGGAUUAGAUACCCGUGUAGUCCCUGUCUCUUAUAC
rnacentral:rRNA from 1 species